rnacentral:rRNA from 1 species
GGUAUUGAAAUAAGAUUUUAAAUGAGUGCUAAGAGAAUGAUUAAACAAUUAAAAGCUUUCUUUAAUUAAAUAAUUAAAUUUAAUUUUUUUAGUGCAAAAGCAAAAAUAAAAUUUAGGGACAAGAAGACCCUAUGAAUUUUUAUUGUUAAUAAUUAAAAUUUAAAUUAUUAAUAAUUUAAUUGGGGCGAUAAAAAAAGAAUAAGUAUCUUUUUAGUUAUAAAAUAAGUUCCGUUUUUAGCGAUUAAAUGAAAUAAAUACUCUAGGGAUAACAGCGUAAUAAUUUUGGAUAGUUCAUAUAGAUAAAAUAGUUUGCGACCUCGAUGUUGGAUUAGGAUUCU